CUCCCUCUAAAAGCACUCUGUGUGGGGAACAUGAGAGCCAGACCAAAGCUCAGAGGAACCCACCUGCACCUCCACCCAGCUCUGUGUCCUUACACAGUGACACGUCUAAAGAUGCCAUCAUUGAUUUUAAAGUCCAGCCUGUGUCUGCUGCAGAGAGAGUGGAAGAGGAUAGCUCAGAGGUUCCCAGUGGUCAGUCUGCCCAGC